GCUCGUGUCGUGAGAUGUUGGGUUAAGUCCCGCAACGAGCGCAACCCUUGAUCUUAGUUGCCAGCAUUCAGUUGGGCACUCUAAGGUGACUGCCGGUGACAAACCGGAGGAAGGUGGGGAUGACGUCAAAUCAUCAUGCCCCUUAUGACCUGGGCUACACACGUGCUACAAUGGACAGAACAAAGGGCUGCAAGACCGCAAGGUUUAGCCAAUCCCAUAAAUCUGUUCUCAGUUCGGAUCGCAGUCUGCAACUCGACUGCGUGAAGCUGGAAUCGCUAGUAAUCGCGGAUCAGCAUGCCGCGGUGAAUACGUUCCCGGGCCUUGUACACACCGCCCGUCACACCACGAGAGUUUGCAACACCCGAAGUCGGUGAGGUAACCUUUAUGGAGCCAGCCGCCGAAGGUGGGGCAGA
rnacentral:rRNA from 1 species